AUACUUAAUUGGAAGGGGAGACACGGGGAGCACCAACGUAGUUUUCCCAGGAUGAGGCUGAUCCACUGGACUUGGGAGGUGCUGAGCCCUGGACACGUGGAGAACCCAACUGUAUGAUGUGUGCUAGUAGGGUUCGUGCUCUCCCUUG
rnacentral:snRNA from 1 species